UACGUAGGGUGCCAGCGUUGUCCGGAAUUAUUGGGCGUAAAGAGCUUGUAGGCGGUUUGUCGCGUCUGCUGUGAAAUUUCGGGGCUCAACCCCGAACUUGCAGUGGGUACGGGCAGACUAGAGUGUGGUAGGGGAGACUGGAAUUCCUGGUGUAGCGGUGAAAUGCGCAGAUAUCAGGAGGAACACCGAUGGCGAAGGCAGGUCUCUGGGCCAUAACUGACGCUGAGAAGCGAAAGCAUGGGGAGCGAACAGG
rnacentral:rRNA from 1 species